GAUGAACGUUGGCGGCGUGCCUAAUACAUGCAAGUCGAACGAAGACUGUAGUAAUACUGUCUUAGUGGCGAACGGGUGAGUAACGCGUGGGUGACCUGCCCCGAAGUGUGGGAUAACAGUCCGAAAGGAUUGCUAAUACUGCAUAAUAUCCAAGAGAUUAGAUGCUUUUGAAUUAAAGGAGUAAUUCGCUUCGGGAGGGGCCCGCGUCCCAUCAGCUAGUUGGUAAGGUAAUGGCUUACCAAGGCGAUGACGGGUAGGGGACCUGAGAGGGUGGCCCCCCACAAUGGAACUGAAACACGGUCCAUACACCUACGGGUGGCAGCAGUAGGGAAUAUUAGUAAUGGGCGAAAGCCUGAACUAGCAACGCCGCGUGUGCGAAGAAGGCCUUCGGGUCGUAAAGCACUUUUUGUAGAGGAUGAGGAAGGACGGUACGUCUCAGAAUAAGUCUCGGCUAACUACGUG
rnacentral:rRNA from 1 species